CACACUGUUUCAGAGUGGAAUUCCCGGUGUAUGGAUAUCAAAUGGUCGAUUCUCUUCUCGUUUUAUCCCACAGAUACGCCAAGUGCUCGUGCCAACAUUGAACUUCUCUCAACCUUGUGAUUAAUCGUUCGAUGCCUAAUUGCGGCUUGACACUGAAAGCAAAUGAGACAGGACAGGGGUGAGAUGUAUUUAAGGAGAGUCACAUUGGAUGCAACUUAUUUUUACGUUAUUGAACAAAGGAAGCUGUAGGGAUAAUAUAAAUUGACGAUGAUGCCCAUAUAUGUAUCAUUCUACACUUGCAGCGCAUCCAUAUGACGAACAGGAGAUUAUAUAAUAAUUAUAUUGAACACGUAAUAGCCAUUUCCAGCUUCUGGAAAUUUUCUACAUUUUUUGGCUAUGAAUCUCAUUGGUAAGGAAUCAAAUUACCCGGAAUUGAAAUUUAUUACUGUUUGGAAUAGUCCCUGCAUAUUUACACACUUGAGUGUCAACAGCGGCUCAACAUUAUAAGGACAAUAAAAUCAAUGAACACUACUGUACAUAAAUCUUGAGAUGAGUAACCCAUUAAGGUCGCCAACAAAAAUCUCAAAAAAACCAUAAGUUGGAUUCCACAGCUACAAAUAUAUUGGGAAAUACGAUGUCGAGUCAGCAAUGACUAUAAGGAUAGCCAAAGAAGCGUGCCAGUCGUCUGCUAUCAGAAGGAAGCGGUGGGGCGGUGAAGGUAAUCUUUUGCAUCCUCAUUGGUUUUAUGGUGUAACUUCACUCGAGGCCAGUCUCCCUGGCUUAAUGAGUUUGUAACACAACUCAGAGGCCAAUGCAACAGAACCCCCAAUGAACCUCCACUGUAUCAACUCUGCUCUCAGGAGAAAUUGCGUGGCAUCGAUAGGUGAACUAUACCUUGACCUCACGCGCCACUUUUGCUGUUCAGACGCCGAUAAGAUAGAGUAUCCUACAACUUUUUACUGAAGAACAACGAUUACUCAUUUGAAAUCUACAUCGUGGACAGAUCGAAUACAGUGGGCUCCACUUCGAGUCACACUCGAGGGGGAAUAGAGAAAGCGAAUUCUGCGACUAUAUUUCCGUACUCCAUGACAACUUUAAAUUCGGAGAACCACAUUUAAGUGAAAUGCAGAGAAAUAAAAAUACCUCAAUAUUGACAUCGGAGAGAGCGAAGGUGAGCGAAACUGGUGGGUAGUGUUAAUUUUGAAACAAAUCGAUGACGGGAUCCUAAAGAGAGCGACUGUAACAAGAGUCUUGUAUUUAUGCUAUUUUUCUAGCUGCAGAAAUCAUUUUCGGGAUAUUUGAUCAUUUCUUCUCUUACAAUUGGUAAAAGUGUUAUCGUGAAAUUGGAUCUCAAAAUUUCCAAUUCUACGAUCCCAAUUCUAGUAUAAACCUAUUCAGGAUACGCGACACAAUUGUGUGAAUACGUCAAGAUCUAGAUUGAAUGAAAGAAAUUGUAAUGCUAGGUAAAGCAGACAAUUACUGGUCAAAGGGUCUAAUGCAAAUUUUGAAGGUGGGAACAUUUCAAAUAUCUCACAAUAGUGUAUUCAUGCAAAUAAAUGAUUUUUCAACAGUUUAUCCCUGGAAUUACUAUGUCUGUUCCACGGAGGUUUUCUUCAAUCCAGUCAUCCAUUUCUUUUUCGAUUUCUGGUGAUAUAACUUCUUUGUAACCACCUAUUUGACCUUUACUCACGAAUAUAUUACUCAUCUGUUCUGCGUCGGAGCUAUCGUCAAACAUGUGUUGACGGAAAGAAUCGAUGUCCAAAUAAUGGACACUUUCUUGAAUUUGACUUUCUGUGUAUGGUUUCCCCAAAAAAUUGGCUAUCUUCUUGAUCGUGCCAGUCAUUAGCGGACAGGCGCUUGGGCUCAUCGCUAAAUUACAAGGUGUCCCAUAGGAAUGUGUGAAAACUAAACUCAUCUGCCGACUCAUCCAAAAUAACCUUGACUCUCUGCGUUUGUGUUACGUUUACUAGGGGCCAGUCAGUUUUAUUUCAUCUAUGGCAGGAGUCUUAGUUUGUUAGCAGUAAUGAGUGAUUUGACAAUUCAAGAAAAAAGAUAUCUCAUCGAGUGCA